GAUGAACGCUGGCGGCGUGCCUAAUACAUGCAAGUCGAGCGAACAGACGAGGAGCUUGCUCCUCUGACGUUAGCGGCGGACGGGUGAGUAACACGUGGAUAACCUACCUAUAAGACUGGGAUAACUUCGGGAAACCGGAGCUAAUACCGGAUAAUAUAUUGAACCGCAUGGUUCAAUAGUGAAAGACGGUUUUGCUGUCACUUAUAGAUGGAUCCGCGCCGCAUUAGCUAGUUGGUAAGGUAACGGCUUACCAAGGCAACGAUGCGUAGCCGACCUGAGAGGAGGAUCGGCCACACGGGAACUGAGACACGGUCCAGACUCCUACGGGAGGCAGCAGUGGGGAAUCUUGCGCAAUGGGCGCAAGCCUGAUGCAGCAAUACCGCGUGAGUGAAGAAGGUCUUCGGGUUGUAAAGCCCUGUUAUUGGGAAAGAAAAGAAGUAUAGGAAUCCACGGCUGUCUUGACGGUACCCAAAGAAUAAGCAACGGCUAACUUCGUG
rnacentral:rRNA from 1 species